CUGCCCUGUUUGGUGAUGAUCAUCUCGGUCUGGUGCCGGUGGAAUUUCAGCCACAGAGGCCGGUUGCACAGAUAGACCUGCGCUCUGGCUCCGGCGGCAGACCCCGGCAGAGACAUGGAGCCAAUCCCUGGGCCCGUCCCGGGGUAGGAGGGGUACAAACAGCCCGGGCCCUGGCUGAACUGGUACCCUCCGCUGCUAAACUGACUCCGGCCGGUGCACACGGAGGAGGAGGAGAAGCCCGUGGGCGGCAACACUGAUCCGUAAUGAAGUGAAGCCGGGUACCUGGAGCCGCUGGAGCCGGUGUACACCGAGCCGGUCUGUCCUGCGUAAGGGAACAGGGAACAGGGGCUCGCCAUGUCGGAAGUGGCCUGGGUGGACGAGAUGAAGUAUCUGUCAGAGCCCAGCUCGUCAAGGUUGUAACGUCGAGCGCUCGUCAACUCGUCCUCGCCGAGCACCGGGGAGCCUUUCCUCCCAUCGGGCCCGGUUUUAGUGAAAGUGUCCCCCUCUCCCUCACCCAGCAUCCCGCCGAGGUACUUCUUGGGGCCGCUGCUGGACUCGGAUUCCGUCCGAUCGACUUCUUGGUAGUCGAGCUGCGAUGACGGCCUCGGGCUGUUGUUGGCACUGUCCGACGAUGAAAGAUUAUAAAAGGUCUUGGGUAAAUUAAUGCUGGCGCUGGGAAGGAUGUUCUCCAACUGCAUUGUUGACACCUUUGCAAUCAAACGAGAGUUUCGAGAGUUUCCGGAGGAGUGAAUCUCAGCCAAGGAGGCGACGUAACCACCGGCUCCCUGGUCUUGUUUCUGUUCUGUGCGCGCCUCCCUCCCUUACGAGUGAUGGAAGGAGGUGAAACCGGCUCCUCGCCUUUGGAUGAGCGGAUCAGGUUGUAGGCUGGGCUGUGGAUGUUCGGCGGCUCUUAUAAAGAUGUAGUUCCCCACACCCAGCCGAUCUGGAGCGGGAGGGGCGGAGCUUUCGGAGCAGCACGCGGGGGCAGCCAAUGGUCGCGCUACUCUAAUUCAAUUACAAAGCGUCUGGUGGAAAUCAUAUCAGGAGGAACAUUCUUCACAGGUGCUGUUGCGUUUAUUUUUACGCCCGCGUAGCGAACUUGACCGAAGUGACAAUCGAUCCGCGCGUUAAAUAUUUAAAAAGCAAAAUUAAAAAGUAAUCGACAACAGCCCUUAGGUCGUUAUCAAACAUGAGUAAAAAAGAAAUCACAAAGAGAGUAAAAAAAACAAACAUAACCUGUGUCUCGUUUAGCCAAAAGACAAAGCGACCAAAAGAAUUCGCACAUCAGCAGUCAAACUUUCAGCUCCGGCUUCGAGUCUUCGCGUAAAAUAUAUAUUCACGUACAGCUUGUCCGAUUACUUCCACGCCGACUGCAAAACACGGAGAGCGUGACCCCUCCUGCACGGACCCCAAACG
ensembl:lncRNA